UGCCAGCAGCCGCGGUAAUACGAAAGGGGCUAGCGUUGUUCGGAAUUACUGGGCGUGAAGCGCGCGUAGGCGGCAUAGUAAGUUGGAUGUGAAAUCCCAGAGCUCAACUCUGGAACUGCCUUCAAAACUGCUAAGCUAGAGUGCGGAAGAGGAGGGUGGAAUUCCUAGUGUAGAGGUGAAAUUCGUAGAUAUUAGGAAGAACACCGGUGGCGAAGGCGACUCUCAGGUCCGAUACUGACGCUGAGGUGCGAAAGCGUGGGGAGCAAACAGGAUUAGAUA
rnacentral:rRNA from 1 species